CAAGCACCUCGUUAGGUGAGGCGGCUACACGGACAUAGGCCACUGACCCCGAACGUCGAAAGACGCCCCGGGUCAGGACAGCUCUUCCCGGCUUAAGGGUUGAGCCCAAGUGGCUUCCGGGAUUCCCGGAUUACGCCGUGUAGUGCCGAAGCUCUGACGAGAGGGGUGCGGC
rfam:Mycobacterium sp. NE-TNMC-100812 PROKKA_contig000048, whole genome shotgun sequence.